rnacentral:rRNA from 1 species
UACGUAGGGGGCAAGCGUUGUCCGGAUUUAUUGGGCGUAAAGAGCGUGUAGGCGGCUUUACAGGUCCGUUGUGAAAACUCGAGGCUCAACCUCGAGACGCCGGUGGAAACCGUAAAGCUAGAGUCCGGAAGAGGAGAGUGGAAUUCCUGGUGUAGCGGUGAAAUGCGCAGAUAUCAGGAGGAACACCAGCGGCGAAGGCGGCGCUCUGGGCCGGAACUGACGCUGAGGAGCGAAAGCGUGGGUAGCAAACAGG